rnacentral:rRNA from 1 species
GACGAACGCUGGCGGCGUGCUUAACACAUGCAAGUCGAACGGUAAGGCCCUUCGGGGUACACGAGUGGCGAACGGGUGAGUAACACGUGGGUGAUCUGCCCUGCACUUCGGGAUAAGCCUGGGAAACUGGGUCUAAUACCGGAUAGGACUCCGGACUGCAUGGUCUGGGGUGGAAAGCUUCUGCGGUGUGGGAUGGGCCCGCGGCCUAUCAGCUUGUUGGUGGGGUGAUGGCCUACCAAGGCGACGACGGGUAGCCGGCCCGAGAGGGUGACCGGACACACUGGGACUGAGAUACGGCCCAGACUCCUACGGGAGGCAGCAGUGGGGAAUAUUGCACAAUGGGCGCAAGCCUGAUGCAGCGACGCCGCGUGAGGGAUGACGGCCUUCGGGUUGUAAACCUCUUUCAGCAUCGACGAAGCGAAAGUGACGGUAGGUGCAGAAGAAGGACCGGCCAACUACGUGCCAGCCGCCGCGGUAA